rnacentral:rRNA from 1 species
UUUGUAUAAUGGGUCAGCGACUUAUAUUCUGUAGCAAGGUUAACCGUAUAGGGGAGCCGCAGGGAAACCGAGUCUUAACUGGGCGUUAAGUUGCAGGGUAUAGACCCGAAACCCGGUGAUCUAGCCAUGGGCAGGUUGAAGGUUGGGUAACACUAACUGGAGGACCGAACCGACUAAUGUUGAAAAAUUAGCGGAUGACUUGUGGCUGGGGGUGAAAGGCCAAUCAAACCGGGAGAUAGCUGGUUCUCCCCGAAAGCUAUUUAGGUAGCGCCU